AAUUUGGGUUUAUAUAAGUGAUUAUAUUGUUUUACAUAUCAAAAUGACUAGUCAAAUUAAUGUUGCAAUCUAACCAUUUAUAUUUAUCUUUUUAUAUUUAUACUUUACCGACGUGGAAUUUUUAAUCCAACAAGGUUCACCAGGCACAGCCUCAACGCCUCUGAUGGCAAAAGGCUGCAGCAUCAUCCACGAGCAUGCCUGAUUGCCUAAGGUGCACAUCUUGUGCCAAGUGCGAGGUGUACCAAAGGCGCACUUCGGCUAGAUUCCAGUCCAUCUUAAAUC
rnacentral:misc_RNA from 1 species